GUUUCUAUAGUGUAAUUAACACAUAACACCUUCACCGUUAAAAUAAAUUAAUUUAGAAAUA
rnacentral:tRNA from 1 species